UGGUGGAGUGAUUUGUCUGGUUAAUUCCGUCAACGAACGAGACCUUAACCUGCUAAAUAGUUACGCAUAACUUCGGUUACGCGGGCAACUUCUUAGAGGGACUUUGUGUGUCUAACGCAAGGAAGUUUGAGGCAAUAACA
rnacentral:rRNA from 1 species